UACGGAGGGAGCUAGCGUUGUUCGGAAUUACUGGGCGUAAAGCGCACGUAGGCGGAUCUGUCAGUUAGGGGUGAAAUCCCAGGGCUCAACCCUGGAACUGCCUUUAAUACUGCUGGUCUGGGGGUCGAGAGAGGCGAGUGGAAUUCCGAGUGUAGAGGUGAAAUUCGUAGAUAUGGGGAGGAACACCGGUGGCGAAGGCGGCCAUCUGGGCCGAAAUUGACGCUGAGGAGCGAAAGCGUGGGGAGCAAACAGG
rnacentral:rRNA from 1 species